CCCUCUCUAUAGUCACAUUUUUUCUGUCAAUUGAUUCUAAAAAUUAUUUUGCAAGUUGGAAAAAAAAUGCAGUUUUAAUUUCAUUUGCACCAAAUUUAAUAGAUUAAUUAGGAGAGAAUAGAUGUCUUUAAAAGUGAGUCUUCUAUCAAUUUGCAAGUUUUAACUGAGGUGUUACCAGCUUAAGAACUGAGACAUUUUAGAUGCUUCACUACCUGACAUUUCUAUAUCAAUCCAAACUCUUGUACUUAUUUCUCAUUUCUGUGGACUUCGUUCUUCAAAAGUACUGCAUGUUUCAUAAGCAAGGAUCAAAGAAACUGUCUACAGGUGGUGAACAUGUGUACAAGAGGACCAUCUAUACCUUCUGCGGUGGUACCAUGCACAGCAUCACCUAUUUCCUGUCAUUAUUUCCCCUUUUGGAAGCUCAUUGCAUCUUUAUAACUCAAAAGGCACAAGUUUUAUAUAUGUACCACCAGGAAUAGAAGUGAUCUGCUUUUUGGCAAGUAAUUGCCCAGAAUGUUAAGUACUUUUUUGUUCUCUGAAUAUAUCUUAUGCUUUCCUCUAUUGUUGUUUACCUCAUUGAUUUUUUUUCCCUCUAUGUUUUACAUUAGAAGCGGGAAUAAGAUAUGUGUGUGGUAAAUAUAAUUAAUGCAAUCCCAUGGACACUUGGUCCCACUAAAGCAUUCUAACCAGGAUUUGUCACAAGCCGAG